rnacentral:lncRNA from 1 species
GCUUUAGUCGUGUACUACCACACCCAGUUUAUGUAGUACUGAGGAGCCCAGGGUUGUAUGUAUGCCAGGCAUGGACUAUACCCACUGACCUAUACCACCAGACCAAAAAGUAGACUUUAACAUUAAGUAUUAGUAACCUAAUCUAAAAGUGUUCCUUAGUAUUAACAAAGUAUCUCAGGGCUAGCAAGAUGGCUCAGUGGGUAAAGGCGCUUGCUGCCAACCUGAGUUGGCUCCCUAGAAUUCAUGGUGGAUGGAGAGAAGCCACUUAGGCAUGUUGUCUUCUGACUUCCAUGUGCAUAAACAUAAAAAAAAAGUAAAAAAAAAAAAAAGACCUAUAAACAACCAAAGUGUCUCAAUAGAAUUUUGCAAUGUAGCCUAAUUCCUGCCUUCCAAAGUACACGCUAUUCUUUAAUUUACAUCAUUAUUGAUGCCAUGAAGAUUCAUGAGAUACUUAUGUAACUAUCACACGGGAAGCCUUUUCUUGGCAGUUGAGUAUAUAAAGAUGAAGGGAAACUGAUCCCUGCCUGUAUCUGUUUUGCAACUUACCAAAAUACCCCAAGAAGAGUGGCUUCAGUUGGAGGCUAAUCAACCAUUUACCUUGCUAACUGUUCCGUGGGCUAGUGAUUGGACUGGGCUCAGCCGGGUGGUUCUUCCCGUCUAGUCUAGGCACGCUUAGGUCUGUAGGCAGCUGGUCUUGGGCAGAUUGUGGGCUGCUUGGUCUAGGACAGUUUUAAUCUGGACAGCCUGCCUCUCCUCCUCAUGCUCCCAUGCUAAGCAGCGCGUGAGGAGAUGCAGAGCAUCUUCAUCCUGGGCUCGCUACUGGCAUAAGCCAGAGAUUUCUCUCAACAGUUCUCUCACUGUUGGUCAGGGUGUCCAGAAAAGGUAGUCCUUUUCCUUGGGCCUCCGUCUUUUUGUUACUUUGUUUCAUCCCACCUUACCCUCCUGGAACACUUGUCCUCAUGUAUCUAACUCUCUCAGGUCUACCUUUGUUAACCUUCUGGCGUGAUUACAGACUUAACCGAGGUUUCCAACAGGGAAUGCCAUGUUUAGGUUGCAUUUUCCAGUCACUGGGAAUGAUGGUGCAGGACUUCCUGAUCUCAACAGUGCAGCUUUUUUAGGAAAACGGGAAUAAUGAAGAGGCCUGAGGAGGCUACCAGGCAUCUUCCAGGGAUUAUGGAGUUCACUAGACUGGCUGGCCAGCAAGCUCCUAAGAUCUACCUGUCUGUCUCUGCUCCCAUUCCAUUUUGUUGGGCUUUUGAGACCGACUCUCACGUUGUAGCCUUGACUGGUCCUGAACUCCGAUUCUCCUGCUCCAGCAUCCUUGUGUGCUUGGAUUACAGGCACCUACCACCAUGGCUAGUUCUGAUAUUUUUAACAUCAUCUGAGAUACUUCAGUGGUAGAAUAAAAAAGGCCUGUAAUGCUGCCCCAUUAAGAUAAAAAGUCCUUGUUCCUUUGCUCGUUGCCUCAUUUUUUUUUUUCAUUUACAAAAUGGGAGGACAGAAAUAUUUGUGCUGGGGAUUUUUGACUAUAAUCUGCAGCCCAAAUUUAUUGCACUAUAAUUAAAAAUAAAAAAGAGAUGGUUCAUAAGAGAAUAACACCCAGGACAAUGGAGUCUGAAUCUGUGGAAGAGAAAGACCUGGGCCUUUUUUCCUACAAUGUAAACAAAUCUCUGUUUCUGGACCAUGUCUGAGUUAAGGUGACAUCACUCUGAUCCCGUUGGUAAAUCUUUGGGUGUCUCUUCUGGGACCCUCAGAUCUCAGCCUGGCAAAGUUCAUCGGCGUUGGGUGAAGCAGGCUUUUUGGUUCCUGGGGCUUGACAGGGUCUGGCGUAUUUGCUGACAGCCAAAUGGUUCAUGUCAAGCAGAUUGAUUUAGUGACUGGGCCUGACAGAACCAAAGUGGUAGACAAACAGGAGCAUGCCCAGUUCAUGAGCUGCCCUUUGCUAAGCAUUUACUGGCUCCUAGGCAUGGAGUGAAGGAUUCGGGGCAUGCUUUGUUCUUCAUUCUUGUGGUUAGUAUUUCCAGUCGAGCAAAUGGCAGCUCAGACUUUAUUAAAUGAGUGUAUUGACUAAUUUUUGUCAAAUUGAUACAGAUUAUGUAUGGCCACCUGGGGAGAGGGAAUCUCAACUG